CAACAGCUAGAGUUUGAUCCUGGCUCAGGAUGAACGCUGGCGGCGUGCUUAACACAUGCAAGUCGAGCGAUGAAGUUUCCUUCGGGAAACGGAUUAGCGGCGGACGGGUGAGUAACACGUGGGUAACCUGCCUCAUAGAGUGGAAUAGCCUUCCGAAAGGAAGAUUAAUACCGCAUAACGUUGAAAGAUGGCAUCAUCAUUCAACCAAAGGAGCAAUCCGCUAUGAGAUGGACCCGCGGCGCAUUAGCUAGUUGGUGGGGUAACGGCCUACCAAGGCGACGAUGCGUAGCCGACCUGAGAGGGUGAUCGGCCACAUUGGGACUGAGACACGGCCCAGACUCCUACGGGAGGCAGCAGUGGGGAAUAUUGCACAAUGGGGGAAACCCUGAUGCAGCAACGCCGCGUGAGUGAUGAAGGUUUUCGGAUCGUAAAGCUCUGUCUUUGGGGAAGAUAAUGACGGUACCCAAGGAGGAAGCCACGGCUAACUACGUGCCAGCAGCCGCGGUAA
rnacentral:rRNA from 1 species